GCCCUGGGGGCCGCUCGCAGGUGUUCGCUGGCGCCCGGAUGUCUGAGCUCUGGCUCCGCUCUGGCUCCGGCUCCCUCCGCAGCCUGCGGGCGGGGCUCGCAGCCCAUCCGGAGCCUCGCGGCGCCCCCGCCGCUCCGCCAGCAGCGCGGCCUCCCGGUUCCCAGCCUCGCGGCCUGGGGGGCCCCCCACCCAGCGGAGUCGCUGACCCCACUCCUCUCCCGCUGCCCCCAGCUGCGCUCGGGCCGCUGCAGCCUCUGCGCACCCCCACCCGCUUCCUGCCCCGUCCGCGAGGCCGCCCUGGAUCGCACCCGGUUCCUUCCUUCCUUCGUUCUUUCAGGCAACUCGCAUUCCUCGAGCGCCUGCGACGUGCCCUGCACAGGGCCUUCCCGGCCUUCCGAGUGUGGCCCCAGGCCCGCUGGGCUCCUCCGGGAAGCCUCUGCCCUCUCGAAGUCCUUCCCCACCUCCGCCCCUCUGUUCCAUGAGGUGCUUCGCUGAGAGUCGAGCAAUUUAAUUGUUCUCUGAUUAGUUCUCCUCUUAGGGGUCAGUCAGUGGCAAGGUCACGGAGUCUCUUUGUGGCUGAGAUCGGGGGUCAGAGCGUGGCCGGAUUUGGGGUUUCGCCAGCCUGGGGCAGGCUUUAGGGAUAAAUGUGGGUAGUCAGGCUGUGGGGGUCCGUCUGUGGGCAGUGUCAAAAGCCAAGGUUAGUGAGUCCGUGUUUGGGUAGGGUCGGUGGGCAGUCGGGAUCAGGGUAGUGAGACACCUUGAGACCGGGACUUUGGGGGUUGCCUUUGACAAACCAGAUUAAGGAGGGAGGAGUUCUCUGAAGUCCCCUGAACUCAUAUUCACCUCUCGCCGUCGUUGGGGGCUGACCAUAGGCGCCCCCCCGCCUCCGCCUUCUGAGCUGUGGAGCUGUGCUUCCAUCGGGGGACGCCUCUCCUCACUGCUACCCUGCUUCUACUUUGUGCCCGAUGCUGCAGGCAGAAGCUCUCACCCGGCCAGACUUGUCAAAGGGAGCCUGGGCUUAGAGUGAGGGUGGCCAGGGUAGGGAGGCCUUAGGCUUCCUGGGGACCCCUACCCUGAAGCCACCCAGGAAAGCAGAUGUUCUUCCUUGCUGUUUAAGUCAUUUGUUGUAAUUCUGAAGCUUGUCAGGGAUGGAAGGGCGGGCCCUUAGAGGUCACAAAUGUAGCCCAGAGAGGGGCAGGAACCUGCUCAGGGACACACAGCAAGUUAGUGUUCACGUUGGGAUUGGAACACCAGCCUCCCACUUUACUAUCCAGGGCUCUUUUCGUGAUGCUCUCCCUACCCUGAGUAAGGGUUGUUUUUCCCACUAUAGAGAUGGGGCAGCGGAAGCCUGGAGAGGCCGAGAGACUGCCUCUUAGCUUGAGGAUCUGCAAAAAUGAAGUCAGGGAAGGGUGACUUCCCAAAGCAUUGUCUCUUGGCAUUGCCCACCUAGCCCCCUCCCUGCCACCCUCGUUAGGAGCAAAUAGAACAAGGGUGGCCAAGCAUCGAGAUGAGGCAGGGAGGGAGAGAACACUGUAAGAACUGCUGGGGAAAAGCUUAGCUGGGCUCUUAUGGAAACAUAUGGAACUCAUUACCCGGAGUUGAGGUGGUCGCUGGCCAGCUGGCAGUUGGUCCCUUUGGGGCUAAAAAUGUGCCUUGUGUGGCAAUGAGGGUACCCAAGGCACGGCAGACUCCCCAGAAUAACCUCCCCACUCACCGAUCCAAGUUAUUUCUGAAUACUGGUUUGUUUCCUAUGCCUGUGCCAUUUCUUUUUUUCGUCUUUUUUUUUUUUUUUAACCGAGUCUCGUACUGUCGCCCAGGCUGUAGUGCAGUGGCGCGAUCUCAGCUCACUGCAACCUCCGCCUCCCUGGUUCACGCCAUUCUCCUGCCUCAGCCUCCCGAGUAGCUGAGACCACAGGCACCCACCACCACGCCUGGCUAUUUUUUUUGUAUUUUUAGUAGAGACGGGGUUUUGCCAUGUUAGCCAGGAUGGUCUCGAUCUCCUGACCUCGUGAUCCGCCCUCCUCGGCCUCCCAAAGAGCUGGGAUUACAGGCGUGAGCCACCGCGCCCGGCCUCCUAUACCUAUGCCAUUUCUAGCAUCAAAAAAAGGGUUUCAAGGCCGGGCCGGUGGCUCACACCUGUAAUUCCAGCACUUUGGGAGGCCAAGGGGGGCACAUCACCUGAGGGGAGGAGUUCAAGACGAGCCUGGCCAACAUGAUAAACCUCGUCUCUACUAAAAAUACAAACAUUAGCUGGACAUGGUGCCACGUGCCUGUAAUCCCAGCUACUGGGAAGGGAAGGUUGAGGCAGGAGAAUCACUUGAACCCAGGAGGCAGAGGUUACAGUGAGCUGAGCAUCUGGGCAACAGAGUGAGAUUCCAUCUCCAAAAAAAAAAGGGGGUUUCAAGACAUGCCACUGUAGGUUAUGCAGGGAAGAGAUGAGAGAUUCAGGACCAUCAGGACAGACAACCAUAUUGCUCCAUUCCCCACCCCACAUACACCCUGACUCUCUUCAUCAGGGCCAGGGGCCACCUGGUCUUACAGUGGUUCCAUAUCCAUUGUUCAUGAUCCCAGCUUCCACUGAGGGUUCAUCCAGGUGGGCCCCAAGGGGCCUAGAUGUUAAUCCCUGUCAAUCACAUUUUCCACUGCAGGUUCAACUCCAUAUACAAAGAGAACAGCAAGAAAGUGUUUCAAAAGAGGCCAUUCACUAGUGGGCGGCAUUUUACAGUCUAUGUGCUGUUUUGAAACUUCAUGCAAACCGGUGGGUGCUGCAGAAUUGGCCUCUUCCAGCCACAGCAGUAAUCCUGUUACGUUCUCUCUGUGAGUCUGGGAAACAUACAGACACUGGUUGAAACUUCAGCUUUGUCAUUUACCAGCUGUGCUAUCACAGGUAAGUUUUUUGUUUUCUUUUUGUUUUUUUGAGACAGGGUCUCAAUCUGUUACCCAUGCAGGACUGCAGUGACAUGAUCGCUGCUCUUACUGCAGCCCUGACCUCCCGGGCUCGAGUGAUCCUUCCACCUCAGCCUUCUAAGUAAUUGGGACUACAGGUGUGCGCCAGCAUGCCUGGCUAAUUUUUUUUUUUUGUAUGUUGCUUAGGCUGGUCUGAAACUCCUGGGCUCAAGCAGUUCUCCCACAUUGGCUUCCCAAAGUGCUGGGAUUACAGGUCUGAACCACCGAACCGGGCCACAGGCUCUUCCACAUACUAGCUGUGUGAACUUGGACAAGUGACUUAACUUCUCUUCUCCGUGUCUGCUAACAGUCCCUACACAGAUGGUUGUUGUGAGGCUUAGUUACCAUACAAAAUUCUUAGAUUAGUGCCUGGCACAUAAUAAUAACCACAGCCCCCAAAUGCUAGUUGUCAUUCAUUAUCUUAACAUACCAUGUGAAGGUUGUGUUCUCUUACAUUCUAUAGCCCUCUGUGUUUUAAUAUAAAAUUGUGAUGUCUCUCUUUCUUUUAUUUGUAUUUUUUGAGUAAAACGGACAUUUCAGA
rnacentral:lncRNA from 1 species